rnacentral:lncRNA from 1 species
GCCUUUAAAGAUACAACAUUAUAAUGUUACAGCACAGCCUAACAUCCUUUAAAUGUUAUUCUAUUAUGCGUACUUUGCCUAAAAAAAAAAAACAAACCCAAUUCAAUGCACAAACACCACAUUAAUACUGUCCUAUUCCAUUUACUAAGUGCUAAAUAUACCAUUCCACCUGUUAUACACCAUAGUAUAUUGACCUAAAUCAAACUACCCAC